UAGGGAAUCUUCCGCAAUGGGCGAAAGCCUGACGGAGCAACGCCGCGUGAGUGAUGAAGGUCUUCGGAUCGUAAAACUCUGUUAUUAGGGAAGAACAAAUGUGUAAGUAACUAUGCACGUCUUGACGGUACCUAAUCAGAAAGCCACGGCUAACUACGUGCCAGCAGCCGCGGUAAUACGUAGGUGGCAAGCGUUAUCCGGAAUUAUUGGGCGUAAAGCGCGCGUAGGCGGUUUUUUAAGUCUGAUGUGAAAGCCCACGGCUCAACCGUGGAGGGUCAUUGGAAACUGGAAAACUUGAGUGCAGAAGAGGAAAGUGGAAUUCCAUGUGUAGCGGUGAAAUGCGCAGAGAUAUGGAGGAACACCAGUGGCGAAGACGACUUUCUGGUCUGUAACUGACGCUGAUGUGCGAAAGCGGGGGGAUCAAACAGG
rnacentral:rRNA from 1 species